UAAUUGAAGAGUUUGAUCAUGGCUCAGAUUGAACGCUGGCGGCAGGCUUAACACAUGCAAGUCGAGCGGUAGCACAGGGGAGCUUGCUCUCUGGGUGACGAGCGGCGGACGGGUGAGUAAUGUCUGGGAAACUGCCUGAUGGAGGGGGAUAACUACUGGAAACGGUAGCUAAUACCGCAUAACGUCGCAAGACCAAAGAGGGGGAC
rnacentral:rRNA from 1 species